GCCUGGCUGGCUCAGUAAGUGGAGCAUGCAACUCUUGAUCUCAGGGUCAUGAGUUCGAGCCCCAUGCUGGGCA
rnacentral:tRNA from 1 species